UGGGGAAUAUUGGGCAAUGGGCGCAAGCCUGACCCAGCAACGCCGCGUGAGGGAAGAAGGCUUUCGGGUUGUAAACCUCUGUCCUUGGUGACGAAACAAAUGACGGUAGCCAAGGAGGAAGCCCCGGCUAACUACGUGCCAGCAGCCGCGGUAAUACGUAGGGGGCGAGCGUUGUCCGGAAUUACUGGGCGUAAAGGGUGCGUAGGUGGCCUUUUAAGUUGGAUGGGAAAUACCCUGGCUUAACUAAGGGGGUGCAUCUAAUACUG
rnacentral:rRNA from 1 species